rnacentral:lncRNA from 1 species
AAGCUGAUCUGCUUUGGGCCCCAUAUAAUUGCAUGUGACACCAAAUGGGAAAAGAGGAUGAAUAUUCUCCUUCCCCUCCCUUGGCGUGAAACUCAGCAGAAUUUUGACACUGUGACAGAAUUUUGGCACUGUGACAGAAUUUUGACAUUGUGACAGAAUUUUGACAUUGUGAUGACGGAGUCCAGGCAGGUCACAGGUGCUGCACUUGAAUGGGGGAUAAUUGAUAAGUGUGAAUGAGAGGAGUAGCAGGAAGAGGAUGAUUUGCCAUUUUGCAAAAAGAUAAAUAUGAUCUCAUCUCCUAAACCAAUUCAAACUCACUCAGUGCCAAGGCAUUAACUAGAGAAACUGGGACCAGAUUUACCCUUUUAUCUGGAACAACUGCAAACACUUAAAGGCAAACAGUAUGAAAACAACAGUUUAAGGCACAAGCCAUCCAACAAUGAAGGAUGAUGAAUCCUGAGAGACUGGAAAUGAAGGAUCUGAACUAUUUGAUUUCCCAAACUCACUGCCUUCAGAGUUUUCAGGCUGCAGCACAAAGAAGGGGGAACCCAGGCAGAGCCCAGUGGAUUCCCUGAGAGGAGUCACAGAGGGAUCCUAGUGAAGAGGAUUAUAACUUUGCCUGUUUUGUGAUGCGGAGGUGAUGUCAUGUUGUUCUACCAUUUUAUCAUUGUUCCUUCUGAGCCUGAGUGUUCUUUCUCUUGAAGAUUCAAGUGAACCAGGGAAGGAGAAUGACAUCAGACUGGGCUUGUGCCUGAUAAUUCAUUUCUGAAGGUGCAAUAUUAAGUGUCACAGUGUCCAGCUGGUGAUAUUUUCAGCAUAGAAACCUGUUAGACACGGCAGCAUUAAGGAGAUGGAAUGAAUUGAUUUAUUUCUCUUCUGAAUUGCUUGGCAGUGCUUCAAGAUUGACGCAUCAGAUUUGCACAAUGUGCCACUUUAGGAGAUUAUUUCUUCCUUCCUUCAGCCAGACAGAAGACUGCAGUAGGGAUAUGGUUCCUGUUUGCCUAUUUCCAUCCACAACUCUGCCAGAGACGAAAGCAGUGUUUGAAACAAUUCACCAAGAUUUCCAUCUGGAAUCAUCAAGAAUGGAAUUGAUCAAAUUCCUUAAGAAAUUUACUUAAAGUCAUGAUUUUGACAGCCUAGUGCUACCUGGAAAAGGGACAGCAGCAGCCUGGAGCAGUUUUCUAGCUAACAAGAAUUUUGUUAGCUAUGUGGCCACCUAGUGGCUCUUCCAUGGAUGUCGCUGAUGCAUUGUCAGGUACACAGACAAUUGCCCACUAAUAAAGAAGUUAUUAUCUUUCUUGGAAUAUGACUUCUUAAUUUUAGCAUAUACGAUGUGAGUUUCUGAAUUCUAGAAUCAUCCGGCAGGACAGAUACUUUGAGAAAAAGGCAGAAUAGCUGUGGGGAGAUGGC